UGUUAUGGCUAGGGGGUCAUGGCGACUUACCAAACCAUUGCAAACUCCGAAUACUGAGAAAUGCAAUUACGGGAGACAGACCAUGGGUGCUAACGUCCGUGGUCAAGAGGGAAACAACCCAGACCGACAGCUAAGGUCCCAAAUGACGUGCUAAGUGGAAAACGAAGUGGGAAGGCAUAGACAGCCAGGAUGUUGGCUUAGAAGCAGCCAUCAUUUAAAGAAAGCGUAAUAGCUCACUGAUCGAGUCGUCCUGCGCGGAAGAUGUAACGGGGCUAAGCACGUAACCGAAGCUUCGGAUGCCCUAAUUUAUUAGGUGCAUGGUAGGAGAGCGUUCUGUAGGCCUGCGAAGGUAUUCUGUGAGGAGUGCUGGAGGUAUCAGAAGUGCGAAUGCUGACAUGAGUAGCGUUAAAGGGGGUGAAAAGCCCCCUCGCCGAAAGCGCAAGGUUUCCUACGCAACGUUCAUCGGCGUAGGGUGAGUCGGCCCCUAAGGCGAGGCAGAGAUGCGUAGCUGAUGGGAAACAGGUCAAUAUUCCUGUACCGAUGUGUAGUGCGAUGUGGGGACGGAGAAGGUUAACUCGGCCGGGUGUUGGAUGUCCCGGUUCAAGCGUGUAGGUUGGUUCUUUAGGCAAAUCCGGAGAGCUAAGACUGAGACGUGAUAACGAGCGUACUUGUACGUGAAGUGAUUGAUACCAUGCUUCCAAGAAAAGCCACUAAGCUUCAGUUGUAUAGAGACCGUACCGCAAACCGACACAGGUGGGCAGGAUGAGAAUUCUAAGGCGCUUGAGAGAACCCGGGAGAAGGAACUCGGCAAAUUAGCACCGUAACUUCGGGAGAAGGUGCGCCCCGGUAACGUGUAUAGACUUGCUCUAGAAGCGUGAUGGGGUUGCAGUGAAAAGGUGGCUGCGACUGUUUAAUAAAAACACAGCACUCUGCAAACACGAAAGUGGACGUAUAGGGUGUGACGCCUGCCCGGUGCUGGAAGAUUAAAUGAUGGGGUGCAAGCUCUUGACUGAAGUCCCAGUAAACGGCGGCCGUAACAAUAACGGUCCUAAGGUAGCGAAAUUCCUUGUCGGGUAAGUUCCGACCCGCACGAAAGGCGUAACGAUCUGGGCACUGUCUCGGAGAGAGGCUCGGUGAAAUAGACAUGUCUGUGAAGAUGCGGACUACCUGCACCUGGACAGAAAGACCCUAUGAAGCUUUACUGUUCUUUGAAAUUGGCUUUGGGUUUCUCUUGCGCAGCUUAGGUGGGAGGCAAUGAAGGUAUUUUUCCGGAAGUACUAGAGCCAACAGUGAAAUACCACUCUAGAGAAACUAGAACUCUAACUUUGAACCGUUUCCGGUAAAAGAACAGUUUCAGAUAGACAGUUUCUAUGGGGCGUAGGCCUCCUAAAAGGUAACGGAGGCGUGCAAAGGUUCUCUCAGAUUGGACGGAAAUCAAUCUUCGAGUGUAAAGGCAAAAGAGAGCUUGACUGCAAGAAAUACAAUUCGAGCAGGGACGAAAGUCGGCCUUAGUGAUCCGACGGUGCCGUGUGGAAGGGCCGUCGCUCAACGGAUAAAAGUUACUCUAGGGAUAACAGGCUGAUCUUCCCCAAGAGUUCACAUCGACGGGAAGGUUUGGCACCUCGAUGUCGGCUCUUCGCCACCUGGGGCGGUAGUACGUUCCAAGGGUUGGGCUGUUCGCCCAUGAAAGCGGUACGUGAGCUGGGUUCAGAACGUCGUGAGACAGUUCGGUCCAUAUCCGGUGUAGGCGUUAGAGUAUUGAGAGGAUCUUUCCCUAGUACGAGAGGACCAGGAAGGACGCACCUCUGGUGUGCCAGUUAUUGUGCCAACAGUAAACGCUGGGUAGCCAAGUGCGGAGCGGAUAACUGCUGAAAGCAUCUAAGUAGGAAGCCCACCUCAAGAUGAGUACUCUCCAUUUUAUUUUUUU
rnacentral:rRNA from 1 species